UUGACUCUUUGACUUGAUUAGUUCCUUUAUGUGUGAUCUCUAGUUUAUCCCAAAUUUUUUUCGCGGAGAUGCAUGUAGAUAUUCUAUUAAAUUCAGUUACAUGUAGUGAGCAGUAAAGUACAUUAAUUGCUUUAGCAUUUAAUUGUGCUAGUCUUCUAUCACUCUCAUUCCAAUCCAUUUCUGGUUUAGGAAUGAUUGUGCCCUCUAUACUAAUUGUGGGUGUGUGUGGUCCUCUAGUUAUGAUAUUCCACAAGUCAUAAUCUAGAGCUUGAAUGAAUAUCCUCAUCCUAGCUUUUCAAUAUGUGUAAUUAGUGCCAUUAAACAGAGGAGGUCUAUUUGCGGAUUGCCCCUUGUUCAUAGAACAUCCUACUUGGGUUGUCAUGAUCUUUGACUCUUGAUUGUGAGAUCAACAAAUAUUAUGAGAGCACCUUGCUCUGAUACCACUUGUUGCCCAAGGUGACAAGCCAAAGGGGGGGUGAAUUAGUUUUUCUAAAUUUUUAAUUUCUUAAUUGAGUUAAUUGAUGAGUGAGUGAUUGUAGUGAAGUUAGAACAAUACACAAUGCAAACACACAAGAAGUAUAGUGGUUCGGUGCUCUCCUAAGCACCUACGUCCACUCCCCAAGCGAUCCUUUGAGAAUUCACUAUAAUUCCGUGGAUUACAGU
rnacentral:lncRNA from 1 species